CAAAGAGAGGUUGCACCAAUAGAUGGAUGUGUUUUCCAGUUGCAGUGGAGACUCCAGCAUAUUGGAGAUGCCAGUGUGGUGGACACUGUAGACAUCACCAAGAACAGCAGCAGGUUCUAAUGGCCAUGCCGAAAUUAAUACCUUCAACCCAGGAUAGCAGGUGCAAUAUCUUCAGAAACUGGGACCUGCAGAUGAACUACAAAUAAACUUCAGAAGAGAAAUGCUGAGUUGGUUCCUUUGAGACAUCAUCAUCUACAGGCAUGCAGUUCACUUGAGGACAAUCAAUAAUCUAUUCUGAUCCUGAUCAAAUCACCUGAUGUCUCUGUGAUCGUGUAUCCUCCCACGUUAGAAGCAAUCAGGCGGAGAAUUAUGAGGGCAUUGAAAGAUUAGCCUCAUCAGUUACCUGCUGUGACCAUCGGCUUUCUGGAUAUUCAAAGAGCCUGCUGAUUUCCAUUUAAAUUACAUGAAGAUAUAUUUGUCUUUUAGAACUUCAAAGCAUUUAAAGGUGGUGUAAAACCAAAACACAUUGAAGAAGGCAAAGAGAUGAUUUAUCAAAUAUUCUUGAAGAGACCGAUGUAUACACAAGCUGCACUGUGGAGCAGAUAAGGGCAUUUUGUGCCUAUUCAUUCUCAAUUUGAAACACAAUGUAAUUCAACCAAUAUUAAUGUAUUUCUCCAGACAGGAGCCUAGCGUGGCUGAUCUUGAGAAGCUCUUCUGGGAGUUAAUUGCAGCCAAGCAUUAGACUGUUGUCGAAGAACCUAAUGGAAGAAUUGGGGGAAGGAUUGAAGGAGCUGAAGGGGAUGGCAACCCCAUAGAAAGAACAACAGUGGCAACUAACUGGGACUUCUCAGCUCUCAGAGACUAAGCAACCAACUAAAGAGGAUACAUGGAGUGGUCCAUGGCCCCUGGCACAUGUGUAGCAGAGGACUGCUUGUCUACCCUCCAUGAAAGAGGAUGCUCUGAAUCGUAUAGAUUCUUA
rnacentral:lncRNA from 1 species